rnacentral:rRNA from 1 species
GACAGAGGGUGCAAACGUUGUUCGGAAUUACUGGGCGUAAAGCGUGUGUAGGCGGCCUUACAAGUCGGAUGUGAAAGCCCCGGGCUCAACCCGGGAAGUGCACCCGAUACUGCAAGGCGUUGAGUCUCGGAGAGGUUGGUGGAAUUCUCGGUGUAGAGGUGAAAUUCGUAGAUAUCGAGAGGAACACCGGUGGCGAAGGCGGCCAACUGACGAGACUGACGGCUGAGACACGAAAGCGUGGGGAGCAAACAGG